GAUGAAGAACGCAGCGAAAUGCGAUAAGUAAUGUGAAUUGCAGAAUUCAGUGAAUCAUCGAAUCUUUGAACGCACAUUGCGCCCGCCAGUAUUCUGGCGGGCAUGCCUGUCUGAGCGUCAUUUCAACCCUCAUGCCCCUAGGGCGUGGUGUUGGGGAUCGGCCAAAGCCCGCGAGGGACGGCCGGCCCCUAAAUCUAGUGGCGGACCCGUCGUGGCCUCCUCUGCGAAGUAGUGAUAUUCCGCAUCGGAGAGCGACGAGCCCCUGCCGUUAAACCCCCAACUUUCCAAGGUUGACCUCAGAUCAGGUAGGAAUACCCGCUGAACUUAAGCAUAUCAAUAAGCCGAGGA
rnacentral:misc_RNA from 1 species